AUUUGGCUCAAGGGGUGCUUUCCUAUACAGAGUGAAAUACUUCCUCUGUCUAAGUUAGCUGAGAUAAUACCCUCAUUAGCGGACCAGGGUAAUUCCUGCGUCGUGAUGAUGCCACAAUGUUUU
rnacentral:ncRNA from 1 species